rnacentral:rRNA from 1 species
CGAACGCUGGCGGCGUGCUUAACACAUGCAAGUCGAACGGAAAGGCCCUGCUUUUGUGGGGUGCUCGAGUGGCGAACGGGUGAGUAACACGUGAGUAACCUGCCCUUGACUUUGGGAUAACUUCAGGAAACUGGGGCUAAUACCGGAUAGGAGCUCCUGCUGCAUGGUGGGGGUUGGAAAGUUUCGGCGGUUGGGGAUGGACUCGCGGCUUAUCAGCUUGUUGGUGGGGUAGUGGCUUACCAAGGCUUUGACGGGUAGCCGGCCUGAGAGGGUGACCGGCCACAUUGGGACUGAGAUACGGCCCAGACUCCUACGGGAGGCAGCAGUGGGAAUAUUGCACAAUGGGCGGAAGCCUGAUGCAGCAACGCCGCGUGCGGGAUGACGGCCUUCGGGUUGUAAACCGCUUUCGCCUGUGACGAAGCGUGAGUGACGGUAAUGGGUAAAGAAGCACCGGCUAACUACGUG